GAAGCCGGCGAAUGAUGGACUGCUCCCUCAGGGCAGCCCUCCUUGUGAUAUAUUUACUGGCAGUUUAUCCUGACGUAAAACAAAAACUGAAGGAUCCAGUCUAAACGGAGGGCAGCCCAGAAUACGGUAUUACCCUUCCACGGGAAUUGUCCCUUGGGUGACAAAGUGUCAGGAGAUGCAUGUAAAGUUUUGCAGAUAAAAUGAGAGGAUGAUGAUAAGGCAAAGCUGAGAAAUAACAUCAACGAAUCGCAGGUCACUCCUUGCUGGAUUGCACCAAUGGUGAUCAAAUGAUGAAGAUUAUAUCUCUUCUUAGCCGAAACAAAGCAGGCACCAAUGAGCAAACUGAAUUUGCUAACUGAUGCAAUUCAUAUGCAGACCAACUUGAAAGUGUCCGAAUCAGGAUUUAAAAACUCCACUCAUCUGUGCAGAAGACCACAUGCUGAUACAAGGAUACAGAUGUGGCUGUUUCUUCAGGGACAUAACUGAACAACAAACAUCCUUUAUUAUUAAUGAUGGGCUAAAAGUCUCUGUGGAAAGAGAAAAUAAAUGCAGAAGACGACAAGGCCAACAGGCGUGACCAGGCUUUACAUCUGCUACUUCAUAUUUCUUACAUUCACACCAGCUAGAUUUGAGAUUUAGCACUUGCAGCAAAUUCAACUUUUACAGCCCCUCCUGUUCUCUCCGAUUCUUCCCCCCAUUAUGUUAUUCAUGCCAACUUAAUUUAGAUUAAGGCUUUGAUACAUCAGGACCUCAGCAGUUGUGAACUUUCAGAAAAUGUGACAUUUUAGGACUUGAAGCUAUCAAAAUCACAUCACACAAAAUCUCUUUAUUACUAAGCACCUUUUCAUAACGUGUAUGGAUUAAUUUCAGGGUAUUUUGGCAAAUGUAAUUUGGAAACUAAUCUCAGUAUUAUAACUGGUCAAUAAACAAAUUGUGUACUCUGUAGGGAUUAAACUGUCAUAUGUAUGACAGACAGAUACAUGCCUUUCUUUUCUUCAUUUUUGUUGUAUUAUUGAAAAAACACCACUUAUGUGGCAUUAAACAUCAUCCAGGA